UACGUAGGGUCCGAGCGUUAAUCGGAAUUACUGGGCGUAAAGCGUGCGCAGGCGGUUUCUGAAGUCCGUUGUGAAAGCCCCGGGCUUAACCUGGGAAUGGCAGUGGAAACUAGGAGACUUGAAUCUGGCAGAGGGGGGUGGAAUGCCACGUGUAGCAGUGAAAUGCGUAGAGAUGUGGCGGAACACCGAUGGCGAAGGCAGCCCCCUGGGUCAAGAUUGACGCUCAGGCACGAAAGCGUGGG
rnacentral:rRNA from 1 species